AUUGACAAAAGUUCAUGGCAGAUGUCAC
rnacentral:piRNA from 1 species